CCUAACCUACCUUUUAACUCCUAAUGACUAAAAGGCUAGAACGGCGCCCUCCCCCUUUCAGAGGAUGAAUGAUCCAUCUCUUUUCUCGGAAAAAAAUGAAAAGACACACAUAGAAAUAGCCAGCUUCCGCCGCAUCACCCCACCCUAAGAAGAUUCAUCAUCGACCAUUAAUUUCCUCCACAAAUAAUAUCCAAAAAUCUUGGAAAGUUUUCGUUGAUUCUGAGAAUCUCUUCCUACUAGAGGCAAACCCACCAGCUGAAAUCACAGAGCAAAUAGUUUCUACAGCAGAAAAACACAGAAACCUUCAGACUGUCUUCCUCAAAUAAGAUCUCGUGUGCUACCAUAUUACGCGAUUGAGUUUGCAGUGACUUUUUCGGAUCCAAAUUGAAGUACUUUUUUUCUUCGGAUCACGGUACUGAAGCAUACGGACCGUAGAGAGAGAUUGCUACCUUCAUUCCAUCAGGAGACCCGAGGUAGUCCUGCAGGCGUCUAUAGGCCCUUGCGUCCCCUUUUAUCUUUAUAUUCUGUUUUCAUUUAUUUUAGAGACAGAUUGUAUCUUUCUUUCCAGAAAACUGUUUGCAGUAUUCGUAGAUUGUCCAUGUUAUUGUAACACCAGUUCUGAAUAGAUAUGUACUUUGUAUU